rnacentral:rRNA from 1 species
ACUCAAAUGAAUAGACGGGGGCCCGCACAAGCAGUGGAGUAUGUGGUUUAAUUCGAUGCAACGCGAAGAACCUUACCUAGGCUUGAAAAGCUCUCUAAAGCUGCGAAAGCAGUGUACCCGCAAGGGGGGGAGUACAGGUGCUGCAUGGCUGUCGUCAGCUCGUGCCGUGAGGUGUUUGGUUAAGUCCAGCAACGAGCGCAACCCCUAGAAAUAGUUGCCAGCACAUAAUGGUGGGAACUCUAUUUCGACUGCCUACGCAAGUAGUGAGGAAGGUGGGGACGACGUCAAGUCAUCAUGGCCCUUACGCCUAGGGCUACACACGUACUACAAUGGCGACUACAACGGGCAGCAAUACCGCAAGGUGGAGCGAAUCCCUAAAAAGUCGUCUCAGUUCGGAUCGGAGUCUGCAACCCGACUCCGUGAAGUUGGAAUUGCUAGUAAUCGCGAGUCAGCACAUCGCGGUGAAUACGUUCCCGGGCCUUGUACACACCGCCCGU